rnacentral:rRNA from 1 species
AUUGAACGCUGGCGGCAGGCCUAACACAUGCAAGUCGAACGGGUGGCGGACGGGUGAGUAAUGUCUGGGAAACUGCGUGAGGGAGGGGGAUAACUAAUGGAAACGGUAGCUAAUACCGCAUAGCAUAAGCUGGGUCCAGAUGGGAUUAGCUAGGUGGUGGGGUAACGGCUGACCAAGGCGACGAUCCCUAGCUGGUCUGAGAGGAUGAACAGCCACACUGGAACUGAGACACGGUCCAGACUCCUACGGGAGGCAGCAGUGGGGAAUAUUGCACAAUGGGCGCAAGCCUGAUGCAGCCAUGCCGCGUGUGUGAAGAAGGCCUUCGGAUUGUAAAGUACUUUCAGCGGGGAGGCGUUACCCGCAGAAGAAGCACCGGCUAACUCCGUGCCAGCCGCCGCGGUAAUUC